CUGUCUCAAUUUGUUGGGGACAGAUAAAAUGAAUAUGGGCAUCAAUCCCCCCUGCUGUCAAAAUCAUCCCUUCCCCAGCUAAUGCCUCGGUAGCAGGACCGAUAAUAAUAUCGACAUUAUCUUGAAUGUGGGGAUUGCCCGCCUUACCGAUUUUAUAAAUUUUGCCGUCUUUAAUGCCCACAUCGGCUUUAACGAUGCCCCACCAGUCGAGAAUUAAGGCAUUAGUAAUCACUAAAUCUACCGCCCCAUCUUCCCUAGAAAUGGGGGAUUGGCCCAUCCCAUCGCGA
rnacentral:sRNA from 1 species